CUUUUCACUUUAAGGACAAGCUGUGAUGGGGAGCGAAAUUUAGUAGCGAAGCGUCUGAUGUCACACUGCCGAGAAAAGCUUCUAGUGAGUACUUAACUACCCGUACCGCAAACCGACACAGGUAGUCGAGGAGAGAAUCCUAAGGUGAGCGAGUGAACUCUCGUUAAGGAACUCGGCAAAAUGACCCCGUAACUUCGGGAGAAGGGGUGCUGAUCGCAAGAUCAGCCGCAGUGAAUAGGCCCAGGCGACUGUUUAUCAAAAACACAGGUCUCUGCAAAAUCGUAAGAUGACGUAUAGGGGCUGACGCCUGCCCGGUGCUGGAAGGUUAAAAGGAUGGGUUAGCUUCGGCGAAGCUCAGAAUUGAAGCCCCAGUAAACGGCGGCCGUAACUAUAACGGUCCUAAGGUAGCGAAAUUCCUUGUCGGGUAAGUUCCGACCCGCACGAAAGGCGUAACGAUCUGGGCACUGUCUCAACGAGAGACUCGGUGAAAUUAUAUUGUCCGUGAAGAUGCGGACUACCCGCGACAGGACGGAAAGACCCCAUGGAGCUUUACUGUAGCUUGAUAUUGAGUGUUUGUACAGCUUGUACAGGAUAGGUAGGAGCCAUAGAAACCGGAACGCUAGUUUCGGUGGAGGCGUUGGUGGGAUACUACCCUCGCUGUAUGACCACUCUAACCCGCACCACUAAUCGUGGUGGGAGACAGUGUCAGGUGGGCAGUUUGACUGGGGCGGUCGCCUCCUAAAAAGUAACGGAGGCGCCCAAAGGUUCCCUCAGAAUGGUUGGAAAUCAUUCGCAGAGUGUAAAGGCACAAGGGAGCUUGACUGCGAGACAGACAGGUCGAGCAGGGACGAAAGUCGGGCUUAGUGAUCCGGUGGUACCGUAUGGAAGGGCCAUCGCUCAACGGAUAAAAGCUACCCUGGGGAUAACAGGCUUAUCUCCCCCAAGAGUCCACAUCGACGGGGAGGUUUGGCACCUCGAUGUCGGCUCAUCGCAUCCUGGGGCUGUAGUCGGUCCCAAGGGUUGGGCUGUUCGCCCAUUAAAGCGGUACGCGAGCUGGGUUCAGAACGUCGUGAGACAGUUCGGUCCCUAUCCGUCGCGGGCGUAGGAAAUUUGAGAGGACCUGUCCUUAGUACGAGAGGACCGGGAUGGACAUACCUCUGGUGUACCAGUUGUGCCGCCAGGCGCAUCGCUGGGUAGCUACGUAUGGAUGUGAUAAACGCUGAAAGCAUCUAAGUGUGAAACACACCUCGAGAUGAGAUUUCCCAUUCCUUUAUGGAAGUAAGACCCCUGAAAGAUGAUCAGGUAGAUAGGUUAGAAGUGGCAGUGCGGUGACGCAUGAAGCGGACUAAUACUAAUCGGUCGAGGACUUAACCAA
rnacentral:rRNA from 1 species